UUUCUUUCAGAAUUUCUGGAAGGAGCUGCCCAACUAAGCAGAACCUGUGCUCAGUGUUCAAGCUGUGCUCGAGGCUGGGUUAUAGAACAUCUCCUCCGUUGGAUGUCCUGCAGCUGAGGCCAAAGCUGUGCACUUCCCAGCGGGAAGCAGAGCUGUGCUGCACCCUUAGCAGAGGUGGAGAAAUCCUGGGCAGAAGCUCAUGACCAGGAGCAGCAUUUUCAAGAGAAAAAGGAGGCAGCCCAUAACUGAGACAGUUUAAAAGAAGAACCUAGAGGCGAACAGAGAGGUGGGGACUUCACACCAAGAAUGCUCUGCCUUCAAACACCUGGUUUCGCUGGACUCAUCUCACAUCUUCGAACGGUUAAGAUGGAAAAUGAGGAGGGAGAUUGCACAUCUACAAGGAAAUUUCCUUCCUAAAUUUAAGGAUUGCUUCUUGUGGAUCUGUGAAGUACUGAGCAAAGUGUCUGGGAAAUCAAGGUGGAGCUCUCAGAGGCUCUGGGAUGGAAAACUAUGGGAAAUUGGAGGUCACCAUGGAAACGUUCGCUGGAGCAGGAAAUGAAACUGCUGUGUUGAUCAAGUGAAUAAUCAUUUCUCUACAGCCCAAAAAGUGCAGUGCACCUCCCCUGCCCCUCAUGGCUUUGUCUCCUCCAGCAGCCUGGCUGGGGCUCUCCCUGCUUCAGAAGUGUUCUUGGUAUGGAACUGAGAGAGCCCUGCACUUCCCAGUUUGGCUCACAGGGCUGUU